UACACUCCUACGGGAGGCAGCAGUGGGGAAUAUUGGACAAUGGGGGCAACCCUGAUCCAGCCAUGCCGCGUGAGUGAUGAAGGCCCUAGGGUUGUAAAGCUCUUUUGUGCGGGAAGAUAAUGACGGUACCGCAAGAAUAAGCCCCGGCUAACUUCGUGCCAGCAGCCGCGGUAAUACGAAGGGGGCUAGCGUUGCUCGGAAUCACUGGGCGUAAAGGGUGCGUAGGCGGGUCUUUAAGUCAGGGGUGAAAUCCUGGAGCUCAACUCCAGAACUGCCUUUGAUACUGAGGAUCUUGAGUCCGGAAGAGGUGAGUGGAACUGCGAGUGUAGAGGUGAAAUUCGUAGAUAUUCGCAAGAACACCAGUGGCGAAGGCGGCUUACUGGUCCGGUACUGACGCUGAGGCACGAAAGCGUGGGGAGCAAACAGGAUUAGAAACCCGGGUAGUCCCAUGAU
rnacentral:rRNA from 1 species